rnacentral:rRNA from 1 species
GAUGAACGCUGGCGGCGUGCCUAAUACAUGCAAGUCGAGCGAACAGACGAGGAGCUUGCUCCUUUGACGUUAGCGGCGGACGGGUGAGUAACACGUAGGUAACCUACCUAUAAGACUGGGAUAACUUCGGGAAACCGGAGCUAAUACCGGAUAAUAUUUCGAACCGCAUGGUUCGAUAGUGAAAGAUGGCUUUGCUAUCACUUAUAGAUGGACCUGCGCCGUAUUAGCUAGUUGGUAAGGUAACGGCUUACCAAGGCAACGAUACGUAGCCGACCUGAGAGGGGGAUCGGCAACACUGGAACUAGGCACCGGUCCAACCUCCUACGGGGGGCAGCAGUAGGGAACCUUCCGCAAUGGGCGAAAGCCUACCGGACCACCGCCGCGUGAGUGAUAAAGGUCUUCGGAUCGUAAAACCCUGUUAUUAGGGAGGAACAAACGUGUAGGUAACGGUGAAGGUCUUGCCGGUACCUAAUCAAAAAGCACGGCUAACUACGUG